AUUGAACGCUGGCGGCAGGCUUAACACAUGCAAGUCGAGCGGAGAGAGGUAGCUUGCUACUGAUCUUAGCGGCGGACGGGUGAGUAAUGCUUAGGAAUCUGCCUAUUAGUGGGGGACAACAUUUCGAAAGGAAUGCUAAUACCGCAUACGUCCUACGGGAGAAAGCAGGGGAUCUUCGGACCUUGCGCUAAUAGAUGAGCCUAAGUCGGAUUAGCUAGUUGGUGGGGUAAAGGCCUACCAAGGCGACGAUCUGUAGCGGGUCUGAGAGGAUGAUCCGCCACACUGGGACUGAGACACGGCCCAGACUCCUACGGGAGGCAGCAGUGGGGAAUAUAGGACAAUGGGCGCAAGCCUGAUCCAGCCAUGCCGCGUGUGUGAAGAAGGCCUUGUGGUUGUAAAGCACUUUAAGCGAGGAGGAGGCUACUUUAGUUAAUACCUAGAGAUAGUGGACGUUACUCGCAGAAUAAGCACCGGCUAACUCUGUGCCAGCCGCCGCAGUAA
rnacentral:rRNA from 1 species